CUGGAGGUAUCAGAAGUGCGAAUGCUGACAUAAGUAACGAUAAAGCGGGUGAAAAGCCCGCUCGCCGGAAGACCAAGGGUUCCUGUCCAACGUUAAUCGGGGCAGGGUGAGUCGACCCCUAAGGCGAGGCCGAAAGGCGUAGUCGAUGGGAAACGGGUUAAUAUUCCCGUACUUGGUGUUACUGCGAAGGGGGGACGGAGAAGGCUAUGUUGGCCGGGCGACGGUUGUCCCGGUUUAAGCGUGUAGGUGUGUGUUCCAGGUAAAUCCGGUUCACUUUAACACUGAGGCGUGACGACGAGGCACUACGGUGCUGAAGCAACAAAUGCCCUGCUUCCAGGAAAAGCCUCUAAGCAUCAGGUAACAUCAAAUCGUACCCCAAACCGACACAGGUGGUCAGGUAGAGAAUACCAAGGCGCUUGAGAGAACUCGGGUGAAGGAACUAGGCAAAAUGGUGCCGUAACUUCGGGAGAAGGCACGCUGACAUGUAGGUGAAGUGAUUUACUCAUGGAGCUGAAGUCAGUCGAAGAUACCAGCUGGCUGCAACUGUUUAUUAAAAACACAGCACUGUGCAAACACGAAAGUGGACGUAUACGGUGUGACGCCUGCCCGGUGCCGGAAGGUUAAUUGAUGGGGUCAGCGCAAGCGAAGCUCCUGAUCGAAGCCCCGGUAAACGGCGGCCGUAACUAUAACGGUCCUAAGGUAGCGAAAUUCCUUGUCGGGUAAGUUCCGACCUGCACGAAUGGCGUAAUGAUGGCCAGGCUGUCUCCACCCGAGACUCAGUGAAAUUGAACUCGCUGUGAAGAUGCAGUGUACCCGCGGCAAGACGGAAAGACCCCGUGAACCUUUACUAUAGCUUGACACUGAACAUUGAGCCUUGAUGUGUAGGAUAGGUGGGAGGCUUUGAAGUGUGGACGCCAGUCUGCAUGGAGCCGACCUUGAAAUACCACCCUUUAAUGUUUGAUGUUCUAACGUGGACCCGUGAUCCGGGUUGCGGACAGUGUCUGGUGGGUAGUUUGACUGGGGCGGUCUCCUCCUAAAGAGUAACGGAGGAGCACGAAGGUUGGCUAAUCCUGGUCGGACAUCAGGAGGUUAGUGCAAUGGCAUAAGCCAGCUUGACUGCGAGCGUGACGGCGCGAGCAGGUGCGAAAGCAGGUCAUAGUGAUCCGGUGGUUCUGAAUGGAAGGGCCAUCGCUCAACGGAUAAAAGGUACUCCGGGGAUAACAGGCUGAUACCGCCCAAGAGUUCAUAUCGACGGCGGUGUUUGGCACCUCGAUGUCGGCUCAUCACAUCCUGGGGCUGAAGUAGGUCCCAAGGGUAUGGCUGUUCGCCAUUUAAAGUGGUACGCGAGCUGGGUUUAGAACGUCGUGAGACAGUUCGGUCCCUAUCUGCCGUGGGCGCUGGAGAACUGAGGGGGGCUGCUCCUAGUACGAGAGGACCGGAGUGGACGCAUCACUGGUGUUCGGGUUGUCAUGCCAAUGGCACUGCCCGGUAGCUAAAUGCGGAAGAGAUAAGUGCUGAAAGCAUCUAAGCACGAAACUUGCCCCGAGAUGAGUUCUCCCUGAGACUUUAAGUCUCCUGAAGGAACGUUGAAGACGACGACGUUGAUAGGCCGGGUGUGUAAGCGCAGCGAUGCGUUGAGCUAACCGGUACUAAUGAACCGUGAGGCUUAACCUU
rnacentral:rRNA from 1 species